rnacentral:rRNA from 1 species
UACGGAGGGUGCAAGCGUUGCUCGGAAUUAUUUGGGCGUAAAGGGUAGGUAGGUGGUCUCAUUUGUCUGGGGUGAAAGCCUUGAGCUUAACUCAAGAAGUGCCCCAGAGACGGUGAGACUGGAGUUCUGGAGAGGGUCGUGGAAUUCCCGGUGUAGCGGUGAAAUGCGUAGAGAUCGGGAGGAACACCAGAGGCGAAGGCGGCGACCUGGACAGAUACUGACACUCAACUACGAAAGCGUGGGGAGCAAACAGG